UACGGGGGGGGCAAGCGUUGUUCGGAAUUACUGGGCGUAAAGGGCUCGUAGGCGGCCAACUAAGUCAGACGUGAAAUCCCCAGGCUCAACCUGGGAACUGCGUCUGAUACUGGAUGGCUUGAAUCCGGGAGAGGGAUGCAGAAUUCCAGGUGUAGCGGUGAAAUGCGUAGAUAUCUGGAGGAACACCGGUGGCGAAGGCGGCGUUCUGGACUGCAACUGACACUGAUGAACGAAAGCUAGGGGAGCAAACAGG
rnacentral:rRNA from 1 species